rnacentral:rRNA from 1 species
CAUGCAGGCGGUCGGACGCGUUUUGUGUGACAGCGGGUGGCUUAACUGCCCGAGUAUGCGAAAGACGGUUCGACUUGAGGGCUCGAGAGGGACACGGAAUUCCGGGUGGAGUGGUGAAAUGCGUAGAGAUCCGGAGGAACACCGAAGGCGAAGGCAGUGUCCUGGCGAGUGACUGACGCUGAGGUGCGAAAGCCAGGGGAGCGAACGGGAUUAGAUACCCCGGUAGUCCUGGCCGCAAACGAUGACCACCAGGUGUGGGAGGUAUCGACCCCUUCUGUGCCGGAGGAAACCCACUAAGUGGUCCGCCUGGGGAGUACGGUCGCAAGAUUAAA